rnacentral:tRNA from 1 species
GGGCCGUUAGCUCAAUCGGUAGAGCUGCGGGCUCUUAAUCGGUAAAUUCCGGGUUCGGGCCCCGGGCGGCCCA